rnacentral:rRNA from 1 species
AAGUUUCAGCCUUGCGGCCGUACUUCCCAGGUGGCUCGCUUCACGGCUUCCCUACGGCACCGACAACGGUCGCACCGUGGCCGACACCUAGCGAGUAUCGUUUACGGCUAGGACUACCCGGGUAUCUAAUCCGGUUCGUGCCCCUAGCUUUCGUCCCUUGCCGUCAGGUCCGUUCUGGUGAGACGCCUUCGCCACUGGUGGUCCUUCAAGGAUUACAAGAUUUCACCCCUACCCCUGAAGUACCUCUCACCUCUCCCGGCCUCGAGCCGAACAGUAUCUCCUGAAAGCCCAACAGUUGAGCUGCUGGAUUUCUCAAGAGACUUAUCCGGCCGGCUACAGACCCUUUAGACCCAAUAAUAACGGUUACCACUCGAGCCGCCGGUGUUACCGCGGCGGCUGGCACCGGUCUUGCCCGGCCCUUGCUGUGCAAUGCUUUUUAUGCAUCACGACAGCCAGAUUUGUAACCUGGCACUCGAGGUCCCCUUAUCGCCU